UUCCGUAGGUGAACCUGCGGAGGGAUCAUUACACAAAUAUGAAGGCGGGCUGGAACCUCUCGGGGUUACAGCCUUGCUGAAUUAUUCACCCUUGUCUUUUGCGUACUUCUUGUUUCCUUGGUGGGUUCGCCCACCACUAGGACAAACAUAAACCUUUUGUAAUUGCAAUCAGCGUCAGUAACAAAUUAAUAAUUACAACUUUCAACAACGGAUCUCUUGGUUCUGGCAUCGAUGAAGAACGCAGCGAAAUGCGAUAAGUAGUGUGAAUUGCAGAAUUCAGUGAAUCAUCGAAUCUUUGAACGCACAUUGCGCCCUUUGGUAUUCCAAAGGGCAUGCCUGUUCGAGCGUCAUUUGUACCCUCAAGCUUUGCUUGGUGUUGGGCGUCUUGUCUCUAGCUUUGCUGGAGACUCGCCUUAAAGUAAUUGGCAGCCGGCCUACUGGUUUCGGAGCGCAGCACAAGUCGCACUCUCUAUCAGCAAAGGUCUAGCAUCCAUUAAGCCUUUUUUUCAACUUUUGACCUCGGAUCAGGUAGGGAUACCCGCUGAACUUAAGCAUAUCAAUAAGCGGAGGAAAUCACUAGUGAAUU
rnacentral:rRNA from 1 species